GCAGGCAAGGAAAAUUCGGCGAUUACAUCUCAACUUUUCCUUUGAGACGUUAAUUUUCGCCGAUCUCUAUCAGCUCGUCUGAUCAACUUUCGAUAUGGAGAUGAAGAAGAUCACUUGUGCCGCCCUAGUUGCCGCAGCCUCCAUGAGUGCUGCCAUGGCUCAAAUGAGCCCAAGUUACGCCCCGGCUCCGUCGCCAAACAGCGAUGCUGCUGUCGCUUUGCCCGCUGUGGGAACUUUGAUUGGAGCCACACUCUUGUCCAUCUUUGCUUAUUAUAUGCACUAAAUCAUUGAGGAAGAAAAGCAAAAAUUGAAAAAAAUUACGGCGGGGGUGACGAGUAGGGUAAAAUGGGGGAAUUGCCAUUUCGUAGGAGGUGAAUACUGAUGUGUGGCGUGAUCCUUAAUGUCCUCCCUUUCUAGUGCUUUAUUUUUACUUUGGCAUUUCCUUCUGCCUGUACUUAACUUAUAUGAACCAAUGCAUAUCAUGCAACGUAAAAAAAUUCUUCGAUAUUUUCUAUUUUUGAUACUAUGAUAAUAACUUCUUGUUGCUCAAUUUUUAGAAAAGCGAUUACUAUCUGAGGCCAAGGUUAAGAAAAAUAUCUCAUAUUACGAAAUUAGCGCAAUUAAAAUAAUUUUAUCUUUAAUAUAUGAAUAUAUGUCG
rnacentral:lncRNA from 1 species